UCUGAGUCUGAGUGUUACUUCAAAUUUGAGGGGCAAGUUGAGUUUACCCUACCAGCAGCCUGUCAACAGACACUCAGAGUCACAGGAAAUCAUCUGUUACGGUGGACAGGUCGAAGUUCACCUGCUGUGGUCAAAAUACAAUGUCAAUACAGUAACACAAGCUUUCAGUUUAGAUCCAUAUUCAGUGACCCAUCUACAGUCACAAUUGAGGAUCAUCCUCAGCUGACAGUGAUUCCUACAGUCAUCAGAGAGAGAGACUCAGUUCAGCUGAUCUGUGAGACUCCUCCAUCUGUCUAUGUGUCUGACUGUAUCUUCAGUGAAGUGGGGAGAUCUAGUCUGCCAGGCUCAACCUGUAAACAGACGGUCACAGGAUCUCAGCUGCUCUCUUGGACAGGUCAACCAUUACCAGCUGUGGUCCAGGUCACAUGUCACUACACUGUAGGGAUGUCUCACACAUCUCCUGUCAGUGACCCAGUUUCUGUCACUGUCCAGG
ensembl:lncRNA